GACGAACGCUGGCGGCGUGCCUAAUACAUGCAAGUUGAGCGCUGAAGGUUGGUACUUGUACCAACUGGAUGAGCAGCGAACGGGUGAGUAACGCGUGGGGAAUCUGCCUUUGAGCGGGGGACAACAUUUGGAAACGAAUGCUAAUACCGCAUAAUAACUUUAAACACAAGUUUUAAGUUUGAAAGAUGCAAUUGCAUCACUCAAUGAUUAUCCCCCGGUGUAUUAGCUAGUUUGUGAGGUAAAGGCCCAACAAGGCGAAGAUACAUAGCCGAACUGAGAGGGUGGUCCGGCAAAUUGGGAACUGAGACAGGCCCAAAAUCCCAACGGGGGGAGCAGUAAGGGAACCUUGGCAAUUGAGGAAAGUCUGGCCGAGCAAAGGCGCGUGAGUGGAGAAGGGUUUCGGAUCGUAAAAACUCGUUGGUAGAGAAGAACGAUGGUGGGAGUGGAAAGCUCAUGAAGUGACGGUAACUACCCAGAAAGCGACGGCUAACUACGUG
rnacentral:rRNA from 1 species